GAGACACCCCUCCGGGGCAAGACUUGCUUCAGUGGGGCUUUGGUGCUCACUGAGUCUGCCUCCUGUGUGUGUCCUU
rnacentral:pre_miRNA from 1 species